rnacentral:rRNA from 1 species
GCCUAACACAUGCAAGUCGAGCGGAUGACGGGAGCUUGCUCCUGGAUUCAGCGGCGGACGGGUGAGUAAUGCCUAGGAAUCUGCCUGGUAGUGGGGGACAACGUUUCGAAAGGAACGCUAAUACCGCAUACGUCCUACGGGAGAAAGCAGGGGACCUUCGGGCCUUGCGCUAUCAGAUGAGCCUAGGUCGGAUUAGCUAGUUGGUGAGGUAAUGGCUCACCAAGGCGACGAUCCGUAACUGGUCUGAGAGGAUGAUCAGUCACACUGGAACUGAGACACGGUCCAGACUCCUACGGGAGGCAGCAGUGGGGAAUAUUGGACAAUGGGCGAAAGCCUGAUCCAGCCAUGCCGCGUGUGUGAAGAAGGUCUUCGGAUUGUAAAGCACUUUAAGUUGGGAGGAAGGGUUGUAGAUUAAUACUCUGCAAUUUUGACGUUACCGACAGAAUAAGCACCGGCUAACUCUGUGCCAGCAGCCGCGGUAAUACAGAGGGUGCAAGCGUUAAUCGGAAUUACUGGGCGUAAAGCGCGCGUAGGUGGUUUGUUAAGUUGGAUGUGAAAGCCCCGGGCUCAACCUGGGAACUGCAUCCAAAACUGGCAGGCUAGAGUACGGUAGAGGGUGGUGGAAUUUCCUGUGUAGCGGUGAAAUGC